GGACCUCGUGCCCCUGUGGGCUCCCACCUGGGGCCCUCAGCUCCCGCACCUGGAGGACCCUCCCCCGUAUCCCUGUGCUAACCUCCCCACUCUCGAGUCCUUGCUUAGCUGCCCCUUCGUGGUGAGGCCUCCCCGGCCUUACGGGGUGUGUCCCCACAUCCCGUCCCGUGGGUCCAUCUCACUGUCUUCAUCUGUCUCUCUUGCUAGACUGUCAGCGCCUUGAGGGGAGGGUCUAUUCUGUUUUGUUCACAGCUGUGCCCAGCACAUAGAGGGCGAUACACACAUAAGCGCGAACUCAGCCAGUGAGCUACAAAGGAAUAAGCCAUGGAAAGCGAAGAAGGACUUGGAUUCCAACCCCUCGUCCGCCAGUGCCGUGGCGGCUCUGUGAUUCGGGGCUUCGCCCCUAAAAGGGGGGAGUCCUGCCUCUCAGGACCAUGGUGGCGCGCCUGCCAUCACACUGGGGCUCUGCUUGUUCACGGAAACGAACACACCUUCCAGCCGGAUUGACCGCGUACAGUACCGUGGACGUCACUGCUUGCCGUCGUCCCAGGAAUGUGCCGCCCUCAGUCCUACCGCAUGUGUAAUGCAUUUACCUGAAAAAGAAAGCAGUUUUCAGGGGCUCCAGGCCAUGCUGGCUGCUGGGAAUCCGGAGAGGGAGGCACAUGGGCCUGUGUUUGGGUCCCCUCCCUCCCGAAACCUGCCAGAGCUGCUGCCUGCCCCGGCUCACAGCUCUGCUUCUGGGGUCCCCCCCAUCCCACCAUGGCGGCAGGGCAGCCGGCCUCACUCCUUGUAGUGUCUCUGAAGGAGCCUCGGGCGCACGGAGCAGGUGGGCCUUUCGUGUGUGUUUGAGAGACUCUUCCUAUGAGUAAACUUAUGUCAGAAAGCCCACUGUUGGUGGGUCCCUGGCUUUUUAAUGACAAUAUUGUCACCGCGCCUCCACCACCUGGCUGGCACCUGCCGUCCUGCCUCUCAGUGAAGUUGCUGGACUUUUAUAGACAUCUUGUGUUCUCAAUUAGCUCCUCAGCUUUUGAAACCAGGCCUGCUCCUCGCUGUGUCCCUUCUGUGCUGGGGGCUCAGUGUCAGCUUCACACGCCCAGCACGCCCACCCGGAUCGCACACCAGCUGGGCUCAGGCCCCCACCAGGGACAAGCUGUGGGGGGGUCCCCAUUCUCUCUAGCAGCCACCAGAGAGAAUCUCACUGAGACUCUAGCCCUUUGUGUUUCACUGCGAGUUUGUGUGCAUUUUCAGCAUGUAAUCCCUAACAAGGGUCGUGAGUUCUGCUUCUAAAACCUCAUAUUUCAAAAACCACAUGCAGCUAAAACCAUCUAUGUUCUUUCGCAUCGAUGACAAGUAAAAGCAGAAUAAAUUAAACUCAUCAAACAUUAUUUAUCAAUAUUUUCCAAGAUAAAUUCUUCCCGAGUGUGGGACACAGGCUUGGCACUACAGGAAACAGCUUCAGGGACACGUGCAGUAAGGCCUGUAUUUGACCAGUUAUUUGUUGUGAUUUGUGUCGGGAAAAGAAAAUACUGCAGGCCUAAGGCUGCACUAGGCUUUUAAGUUAAAAAGAAUCAAUUUAAGGAAAACUCCAAGGCAAUGAUGCUGUGUGUGGUAAGAAAAAAUGGCUGAAAUUUUGCGAAAAAAUAGUAAAGUUUGAGAAUUGCAAAGUGUGAAUAAAACAUGUCCCCAAACUGAA